rnacentral:snRNA from 1 species
UGGAACAAAAGGGUAAAAG